CAUAUUAAACAUACACAACAAGAAUGUGUCCAUAGUACACGGAUGCCCCACUCGCACUAUAAUUUUCCAUGUUCAGUGGACCGUGAAAUUGGGGUCAAAACUUUAAUUUGGAAUUAAAAUUAGAAAGAUCAUAUCAUAGGGAACAUGUGUACUAAGUUUCAAGUAGUUGUGACUUUAACUUCAUCGAAAACUACCUUGACCAAAAACUUUAACCUGAACUUCGCACUUUCAUUUUCUAUGUUCAGUUGACCAUGAAAUUGGGGUCAAAACUAUAAUUUGGCAUUAAAAUUAGAAAGAUCAUAUCAUGGGGAAAAUGUGUACUAAGUUUCAAGUGGAUUGGACUUCAACUUCAUCAAAAACUACCUUGACCAAAAACUUUAACCUGAAGUCGGACGAACGAACGAACGAACGAACGAACGGACGAACGGAGGCACAGACCAGAAAACAUAAUGCCCCUCUACUAUCGUAGGUGGGGCAUAAUAAAAAGCAUCAAAAUUUAUAACAAACUGUUAAGAGUCCCCUAUCUUCAGUUCUAAUGACCUUUUCAAGAAGGAUCCUAACUUAUUUGUUUGUAGAGGCGUUGAUGGAUUUAGUAAAUAAUGCAUUUUUUCUUCUUAGGUUAUAUUAUUAAAGUUAUUAUUUUCAGUACAUAUCUGUUGAAAAAAUCAUUUCUUAGCGUUUUAUUAUAAUCACAAUAGAGUAAAACAAUGUUUCUCAUUCUCUUGCAUUUUACAUUUAUGGCAAAGUCGUUCCUUUCUUGGGAUUUUAAAAUAUCUCCCUUUUUCAAUCAAGAGGGAGUGAUCACGUAUUCUAAAUUUAGUGAUUAAUCUCCUUAUCUGAAAAUUAGUUGUAUUUAGCAUUUUUAACUUUAUAUAUUUUUUUAUUUUAUGUACAUCUUUUAUGUUCUUACAAGUAGAAAGAAU
rnacentral:lncRNA from 1 species